AACGCGAAAGUUUUCUUCGGAAAGCGAGUAGAGUGGCGCACGGGUGAGUAACGCGUAAAUAAUCUACCCUGGUGUCCGGGAUAACCCUUCGAAAGGGGGACUAAUACCGGCUAUAUGAUUCAUUGUUGGGUGAAUCAGGAAAGGUGGCCUCUUCUUGAAAGCUAUCGCACUGGGAUGAGUUUGCGUACCAUUAGCUAGUUGGUGGGGUAAAGGCCUACCAAGGCAACGAUGGUUAGCGGGUCUGAGAGGAUGAUCCGUCACACUGGCACUGGAACACGGGCCAGACUCCUACGGGAGGCAGCAGUGAGGAAUAUUGCGCAAUGGGGGAAACCCUGACGCAGCGACGCUGCGUGAGUGAGGAAGGCCUUCGGGUCGUAAAGCUCUGUCAGAAGGGAAGAAAUGUAUAUUGGUUAAUACCCAAUAUAUUUGACGGUACCUUCAAAGGAAGCACCGGCUAACUCCGUGCCAGCAGCCGCGGUAAUACGGAGGGUGCGAGCGUUGUUCGGAAUCACUGGGCGUAAAGGGCGCGCAGGCGGCUUGAUUAGUCAGAUGUGAAAGCCCACGGCUUAACCGUGGAAGUGCAUUUGAAACUGUCAGGCUUGAGUACCAGAGGGGAAGGUGGAAUUCCCGGUGUAGAGGUGAAAUUCGUAGAUAUCGGGAGGAAUACCGGUGGCGAAGGCGACUUUCUGGCUGGAUACUGACGCUGAGGCGCGAAAGCGUGUGGAGCAAACAGGAUUAGAUACCCUGGUAGUCCACGCCGUAAACGAUGUGAACUAGAUGUUGGAGGAGUGAAAUCCUUUA
rnacentral:rRNA from 1 species